rnacentral:rRNA from 1 species
UGCAGUCGAGCGGACAGAAGGGAGCUUGCUCCCGGAAGUCAGCGGCGGACGGGUGAGUAACACGUAGGUAACCUGCCCCUUAGACUGGGAUAACUCCGGGAAACCGGAGCUAAUACGGGAUAAUAAAGAGAAUCACCUGAUUCUCUUUUGAAAGACGGUUUCGGCUGUCACUAAGGGAUGGGCCUGCGGCGCAUUAGCUAGUUGGUAAGGUAACGGCUUACCAAGGCGACGAUGCGUAGCCGACCUGAGAGGGUGAUCGGCCACACUGGGACUGAGACACGGCCCAGACUCCUACGGGAGGCAGCAGUAGGGAAUCUUCCGCAAUGGACGAAAGUCUGACGGAGCAACGCCGCGUGAGUGAGGAAGGCCUUCGGGUCGUAAAGCUCUGUUGUGAGGGAAGAACAAGUACCGGCGUAACUACCGGUACCUUGACGGUACCUCACCAGAAAGCCACGGCUAACUACGUGCCAGCAGCCGCGGUAAUACGUAGGUGGCAAGCGUUGUCCGGAAUUAUUGGGCGUAAAGCGCGCGCAGGCGGCUUCUUAAGUCUGAUGUGAAAUCUCGGGGCUCAACCCCGAGCGGCCAUUGGAAACUGGGAAGCUUGAGUGCAGAAGAGGAGAGUGGAAUUCCACGUGUAGCGGUGAAAUGCGUAGAUAUGUGGAGGAACACCAGUGGCGAAGGCGACUCUCUGGUCUGUAACUGACGCUGAGGCGCGAAAGCGUGGGGAG